rnacentral:rRNA from 1 species
CAAUGGGGCGCAAAGCUAGAAUGCAGCCAUGCCGCGUGUGUGAAGAAGGCCUUCGGGUUGUAAAGCACUUUCAGCGAGGAGGAAGAUGUCAGGAUUAAUAAUUUUGGCAUUUGACGUUACUCGCAGAAGAAGCACCGGCUCACUCCGUGCCAGCAGCCGCGGUAAUACGGAGGGGUGCGAGCCUUAAUCGGAAUUACUGGGCGUAAAGGGCACGCAGGCGGUUUUGUUAAGUCAGAUGUGAAAUCCCCGAGCUUAACUUGGGAACGGCAUUUGAACUGGCAGGCUGGAGUCUUUGUAGAGGGGGGUAGAAUUCCAGGUGUAGCGGUGAAAUGCGUAGAGUAUCUGGAGGGAAUACCGGUGGCGAAGGCGGCCCCCUGGACAAAGACUGACGCUGAGGGUGCGAAAGCGUGGGGAAGCAAAACAGGGAUUAAGAUACCCUGGGUAAGUCCACCGCUGUAAACGAUGUCGAAUUUGGGAGAGUGCGGGUCUUGAAGCUGUGGGCUUCCGGAGCUAACGCGGUUAAAAUCGACCGCCUGGGGGAGUACGGGCGCAAUGUU